UCCCUGAUGUUAAGAUAAAAAUCACAGCUUGUCGUGUUCCUGAGAAACCACUAAUCAUAAUCUCCUCUGUCCUGAAGAUCAGAAAACUCUGUUGCAGCUUUACCUCUGACUGUUACAAAGUGUUGAAACUGGAGACUCCUUCCAUAGAACAAAUAAAAGUCCCUGUGUGAGUUGUUACUAUAGAAACUAUUAGAAUGAACGGAUUAAUCUAAACUUGUGAUUUGUUUUGCAGUCAGAACUACAGUCAGGGCUGCUGUUAUAGAAAAACAAUCAACACCUUCGGACCAAAUCACACACAGUGGUAUGUUAUUGGGGAAUAAUUGUGCCAAUAUAAAAAACAUUUCGAGAUGAUUCUAAACUAUAAUAACAGGACUUACUAUACUCUGAAGCCACCACACGGAUCUCUUUCAUCUUUUGAAUAAGCUUUUGGUACAUGAGUGACACUCUGUUUGCAGGUAUAAUGUUGACCAGGCAGAAGGGUUUAUCAGAAGUUUUGGGGUUUUUGUUGUAGUUGGAGUCAUUCUCAGACGUGGGAGUAACAGGAUUAAACUGCAAAUUGGUGAAAGAAUAAAUAUUACAGAUGUUUUACUGUGCAAAAAUCAGUGUAGGUUACUACAGAGCUACAGCUGUACUAUAAAGACUGACUACAUGAACAGUAUUCUAACGUCAUAUAUUUUAACAUUAUAUACCGUAACAAUGCUAAAAAUAACUGUUUUGUCUCAUACUGUGAGAGUAAAAUGUUCCCCUCACUUUAUAUCUUUCCUCAAGAAACCCCUUUAAGGCUGUGAUGAUGUCCUUUACAUGUGCUCCUUGUCCAUCGGCAGGUUCAAGUAGCAUGACGUCACUGAACACAAAAGGUUCCAUCUCAUUGUCAGUUGGACUUUGGAACUGUCAAUCUGCUGUCAACAAGGCAGAUUUCAUUUCUGCAUUUGCAAACCACUCCAAUCUCAGCGUGCUGGCUCUGACUGAGACCUGGAUCCAUGCUGAGAACACUGCCACAUCCGCUGCCCUGGGCUCCAACUUCCACUUCUCCCAUUCCUCACGCCCCAACAGAUGAGGGGGUGGUACAGGUCAACUGGGGAAGUUCAUCGAUGAAUUUGACACGCUACUGUCCACCAUCCCAGAUGAUGGAACUCCUCUUCUGGUCCUUGGUGAUUUCAACAUUCCUCUAGACAAGCCACAUGCAGCUCCCACAUUCGACCUCAAGCAGUUCACCCCAUCAGCACCCCACAAAGCCGAAUAACCUCCUGGACACCAAGCAGUCUGGCUUCAAGAGCAACCACUCCACAGAGACUGCUCUGCUUUCUGUCACUGAAGCCUUACGACUAGCAAGAGCAACCUCUCGAUCCUCUGUCCUCAUCCUACUUGACCUCUCUGCUGCUUUUGACACUGUGAACCAUCAGAUCCUCCUGUCGACUCUCUCCAGCCUGGGCAUCACUGGAACGGUUCUGCGCUGUCUGGAAUCCUAUCUCUGUGACAGAUCCUUCAAGACAAUGGCCUUAAAACGCCAGUGAAGUUUGCAGAACAAACAAGACGACCAAGAUUUCUUUGAAAAGCUCAUGAUUGGUCAGUCUGGGCCUGCCCCUAUACCGUAUAUAAGAAAUAUGAGACCACGAGAAAGCGAAACUAUUUAGCAAAUGUGAGCAUACUCUAUGCAGAUUUGAUAUCGUCGCGACCAGCUAUAGUUAAACACAACGCUCAAGAGCAGCACAACCAUCCAAGAAAUGGGAAAUCGACUAUCCACUCCAUCUCCUUCCUCACAAGUGCUCCCGGAGCCUUGGAGAAAAAUGGACUGUGGAAGAGAGGAAAUACUGCACGAAGUGAAAGAAUUCAAGCCCAGCACUGAGGUCCUCAGAAUUAUGCUGUAUGGACCGACUGGCGUUGGGAAAUCAUCGUUCAUCAACUCAGUUCAGAGGGUCCUCUCAGGCCGGAACGCCAUGAACGCUCUGGAAAACUCCACACUUACAGGAAAAAGCUUCACAAAAAAAAUGAACAUACACAAGCUGAAGAAGGGCCGGGGUGAGCCUUAUCCUCUGGAGAUCGUUGACAUCAUGGGGAUUGAAUCGACAGAUGGAGGAGUAAAACAUGAAGACAUCAUCAAGGCAUUUUUGGGACACAUUUCAGAUGAGUACAUCGUAAGUACGUAUAGAGUACUGUGCAAAGAAAUGCUGUAAAGAUGACUUAAAAAAUAAGUAAAUGAAAUCUUUCUACUGCUCGCCUUGUGCCCGAUGCUCCCUGGGAUUGAAUCCAGGAUCCCCGCGACCCUGAGAAAGGAGUAAGCGGUAGAAGAUGGAUGGAUGGAUGGAUCUUUCUACUGAGCACAACGUGCAAAAUCUCGCUUGUGGUUAAACUGGUUUUAAUUUAAUCUUUCUAAUUCAAAAUUAACUUUUUUUUUCAUGUUGUAGUUUAAUCCUGGGGCAGCCAUAACCGAUCACGACCCAAAAUACAAAAAGAACCCAACUUUGAUAUAUGAUUCAUAUAUAUGAUUCAUUUUGCUUUGUUUUUUUUUUCUGCUCUAGCUUUGCCCCGAACCCAUUACUGAUUAUUAUUUUAACCCAUAUGUGUUACUAAAGCCAGCUGGAAAUCUGUGUAGGGUAGUGGUCAACAGAUAUGGGUUUUUCAUGGGCAAUGGUGCCAAUAAGACAUUGAUACCCCACAGAUAAAAUAGAACAUUAUAACAAUUAAA